rnacentral:rRNA from 1 species
GCGGCGGACGGGUGAGUAACACGUGGGCAACCUACCUCGUAGCGGGGAAUAGCCUUUCSAAAGGAAGAUUAAUACCGCAUAAAAUGAAAGUGUCGCAUGGCACAAUCAUCAAAGAUUUAUCACUACGAGAUGGGCCCGCGUCGCAUUAGCUAGUUGGAGAGGUAACGGCUCACCAAGGCGACGAUGCGUAGCCGGCCUGAGAGGGCGAUCGGCCACAUUGGAACUGAGACACGGUCCAGACUCCUACGGGAGGCAGCAGUGGGGAAUAUUGCACAAUGGGGGAAACCCUGAUGCAGCAACGCCGCGUGAGUGAUGAAUGCCUUCGGGUUGUAAAGCUCUUUGAUUGGGGACGAUAAUGACGGUACCCAAAGAACAAGCCACGGCUAACUACGUGCCAGCAGCCGCGGUAAUACAUAGGUGGCAAGCGUUGUCCGGAUUUAUUGGGCGUAAAGGGAGCGUAGGCGGAAAAUUAAGUCAGAUGUGAAAUACCCAGGGCUCAACUCGGGUGCUGCAUUUGAUACUGGUUUUCUAGAGUACAGGAGAGGUUAGUAGAAUUCCUAGUGUAGCGGUGAAAUGCGUAGAGAUUAGGAAGAAUACCGGUGGCGAAGGCGACUGACUGGACUGUAACUGACGCUGAGGCUCGAAAGCGUGGGGAGCAAACAGGAUUAGAUACCCUGGUAGUCCACGCCGUAACGAUGAAUACUAGGUGUGGGUGCUAUAAACGCAUCCGUGCCGUCGCUAACGCAUUAAGUAUUCCGCCUGGGGAGUACGGUCGCAAGAUUAAAACUCAAAGGAAU